AGGCCAAAACUACCGCUGGGAGACGCUGAGGCUGCAGGGAGGAGAGAGAGGCCAAAACUACCGCUGGGAGACGCUGAGGCUGCAGAGAGGAGAGAGAGGCCAAAACUACCGCUGGGAGACGCUGAGGCUGCAGGGAGGAGAGAGAGGCCAAAACUACCGCUGGGAGACGCUGAGGCUGCAGGGAGGAGAGAGAGGCCAAAACUACCGCUGGGAGACGCUGAGGCUGCAGGGAGGAGAGAGAGGCCAAAACUACCGCUGGGAGACGCUGAGACUGCAGGGAGGAGAGAGAGGCCAAAACUACCGCUGGGAAACUACCGCUGGGAGAUGCUGAGACACACAAUCACCACCAAGGCCUCCAAAAAUAGCUGACAAACUGUCUUACUAACCAGUUUUCCAUCCAGCCUUUUUAUGCAAGUAAAGUACGUCACUCACCUGCCAGUCAGGUAACCUUGUCAUCUUAGUUUUGCUCUUGCACUUUGAGAUUUUUUGAUUUUGGAAUUCGUCAAAAGAUUUGGCGCGCUCCCCAUAGAGAUAAAAUAUAAAUGUAACUUUCCAAAUGUCGACAAAACAAAAUACGCUAUACAAGGCAGUGGCGACCCAUCAUUCAGGGCAGGUGGCUUGCCGGUCUCCCCCCUUAUGCCGUAGUUUGUACAUCUCAAUUGUCAGUAGAAACCACAUUUGUUUAAGCAAGUCAGCCAUAUCAGCUAUGUUUUUUUAAAAGGCAGUAAAUGAAGCUGAAAGAAGUGUUUCCCUGCCAGACAAGGCUCCGCUGAUAGCCAGGUGUAGCUUGUUAUGGGACUCUGCUGUUGGGACUCUGCUGUUGGGACUCUGCUGUUGGGACUCUGCUGUUGGGACAGCUUUAUGUAGGCCCUAACAGGUUGUGGGCACCGCUUGUCACCGUUCUAGUGCUAUUAAUGUAUUGUUUAGUGUUGUGUCGUGACUUUGCUGGCAUGCAUCCCACUAGUUUUUUUUAUUUAUUAAAUUUUUUAGCCCCACCAAGAUUUACAUGCUAAAAUCGCCACUGAGACGAGGUAGGAUCUUUUUGUGUCUAAAAUGUCUAAUGCAAGAAAUGGCGGUGGAAACGCUUUUAUGCACUAAUAUUGAGAUAGACAUCAUAUAUUCAAGUCACACGAUGACAUUUUGCGUGGUCCUCCCACUACGACUUAAAUAUGUUAACUUUACAGGGUGGUGAAGGUACAAGGUGAUGAGCUUGAUGUGCCUUUCCAAUAGAUAUCCAGGGUCUUAUUCUGGUGACAUGAUGAUCGAUGCUUUGUUGCCGUUUUGACAAAUAAAGAAUCUCGCUCUUUGUCCAUAGUAAUCUCAUGUCGGCUGUAGCUACACUGUAUCUGCCAGUCCAUAGUAAUCUCAUGUCGGCUGUAGCUACACUGUAUCUGCCAG
rnacentral:lncRNA from 1 species